rfam:Synergistes sp. 3_1_syn1 genomic scaffold supercont1.8, whole genome shotgun sequence.
UCAAAACUCCGGGGGAGCUCAUGAAGCUGAGAGGAAGUUUUUAACUUCGACCCCAUACCUGAUCCGGCUAAUACCGGCGUAGGGAGCGAGGCCACGAAAUGAA